GCUCGUCGGUGUGGGGUUCGAGGCGGUUGAGUGAGACGAGACGCGCCCCUCCCACGCGGGGAAGGGCGCCCGCCUGGUCCGGCGAGCGCACGUCCGGUGCUCCCCUCUGGCGGAAAUACUAGGCUUUAGAAUUUCACCAUAUGAAUUUUGGGAGAGAGGAGCACAGUUCAGCCCAUAACUAACACACGCAAGACAAAUCUCUCCUCUGCCUUCUCCUUAUCAGACUACUCAACAUGAAGGCAAUAAGAAUGAAGACCUCUAUGUAUAAUAAUUGACUUCCACUUAAUAAAUAAGGUUACUUGGUACACUGGUCGACAAAACCUUGAAAUGUUGAUGUUUAAGGGCUGUUGAUUGCUGGCAGCAAAGAAGUCCAACUGUGCUGGUACCCGAGAUAGCGUCUCCACAUUUUCUUCCAGGAUCAUCACCUUUGUUCUAAAUAGCUCCCACAUAGUGUGAACAGAAGUCAUAUGUUUUAGAUUUUCUGCCUUGGCA
rnacentral:lncRNA from 1 species